rnacentral:rRNA from 1 species
UACGUAGGCAGCAAGCGUUGUUCGGAAUUACUGGGCGUAAAGAGUGUGUAGGCGGUGCUCUAAGUCUGUUGUGAAAUCUCCCGGCUUAACUGGGAGGGUGCGGCGGAAACUGGAGUGCUCGAGGGUGGGAGAGGUAAGCGGAAUUCCUGGUGUAGCGGUGAAAUGCGUAGAUAUCAGGAGGAACACCUGUGGUGUAGACAGCUUACUGGACCACUUCUGACGCUGAGGCACGAAAGCGUGGGGAGCAAACAGG